AGCGAGAGAGAGCAGUCCAGUGCUGGAGCUGAGCCCAGUGCAGGGGUGGGGGAAAGUGCCAGCAGCGCACGCCUCCGACACUCUCCACACUGCGUGCUUGUGGAGUGAGUUUUAGUGGAUGUGGUCAGUGCGGGGGUGGGAGAAGUGGAGAGGGAGAAGCAGUUGGAAGGACGGAUGGAGGAGGAGAGCGAAAACGACUCUUCAAUACCRGGCAACAUCCAGUGGAGGGGAUAGGAGUGUGUUGAAUUCAGCGGGAAGAAGCCUCACACAGUGACAUAUACCACAGCAGGAGCUUUACGUUGUGCAUCUCAAGAGCUAUGAAAGAAACUACACCUGGACCCGGAAACAAGCUCCACUUUGUGCCAAGGAUGUGCCACUCUUGCUCUCAAUAAACAGGGACCAGAUAGCAAAUAAAAGCAAAAACUAACUGAAGUUAUUCACAAAGCCAUCUUUUCAGAGAGAAUUCCCAACAUUCAAAAGGUUCACCACCAACAACGAACUCUUGCUCGGGCAGUGAUGUAGGAGAGGUGAUACUGUAGGUGUCUGACAGCAAGAGAUAGCCAUGUCUAGAAGACUUCCUGGAGAGAUGUUUUAUGGACACAGUAAAGAGGAAAUUCAGCACCAUCACAGCUAAUUGCCAGAAUUAAUGUUUUUGUAGAAGAUAAAAAGACAUCUAUCUGUCAAGAUGUGAGUUGGCAGGUGAGCAGUACAGAGGAAAAAGCUUGGGUGAAUGUGACACGAAGUAAAGAGGAGUACAGAAGUUAAAUUCUUUUGGUAGUGGCUGGAGCAGAUGGUACAUCAAUAGUUUAUGAGUGGGCUUAGGUAAAGGUUUGGGUUUACCGAGGUGUGCUUGGUGUGAUUUGCGCAGAGUAGCAGCCGUUUACUGAGUCGCUGGCCCAACCUUUGAAGAGCCAGCAAACAUUCCAGACUGGGACACAGAAGGUGGGAGGACAGAUUCAAAACAGAGGCAGCUCCGAGCCAGGACAAAUGAGCUCCAGGUCCACUGCACUCCCUUUACACCCACUUGGGCAGUUACACACAUUCCCUGUUCCCACAACACAGAUUUAACUGCACAGACAAUAAAAAGCAAUGCCACAACACAGAA